rnacentral:rRNA from 1 species
UAGGGAAUCUUCCGCAAUGGGCGAAAGCUUGACGGAGCAACGCCGCGUGAGUGAUGAAGGUCUUCGGAUCGUAAAACUCUGUUAUUAGGGAAGAACAAAUGUGUAAGUAACUAUGCACGUCUUGACGGUACCUAAUCAGAAAGCCACGGCUAACUACGUGCCAUCAGCCGCGGUAAUACGUAGGUGGCAAGCGUUAUCCGGAAUUAUUUGGCGUAAAGCGCGCGUAGGCGGUUUUUUAAGUCUGAUGUGAAAGCCCACGGCUAAACCGAGGAGGGUCAUUGGAAACUGGAAAACUUGAGUGCAGAAGAGGAAAGUGGAAUUCCAUGUGUAGCGGUGAAAUGCGCAGAGAUAUGGAGGAACACCAGUGGCGAAGGCGACUUUCUGGUCUGUAACUGACGCUGAUGUGCGAAAGCGUGGGGAUCAAACAGG